rnacentral:lncRNA from 1 species
UUUGAUCGGUGGAGGGUCGUUAGCCGAACGGGUAGGAUAGGGAAACCUCAUUCACGAAGCCGAUCUAUAAGGUGGGUAUAAGGUUGCGGCCUAUAAAAUGGCGCUUAAUGGGUGUACACUCACACCCACCGCUUGCUUGAUCGGUGGAGGGUCGUUAGCCGAAUAGGUAGGAUAGGGCAACCUCAUCCUCUCAUUAAAAGUAUAAUAAGUAAUACAAAGUAACUACACAUUUUUAAAAUUUCCCAAUCUUAGUUACUUUAGGAAAAGUGAAUUGAUGCAAUCCCAUGAAAUUACACUUUGCGCCCUUGCUAAGAAGUUAGUGGAGCGUGUGUGGUUUACCGGCACACUAAUUGGUUCUAAGC